GUGAAGGAGAAACAGGAAGGGUCCCCUUUUCCCCUUUCUCCUCCAGCAGCAGGAUGUGAGCCACCGGCAAGGAGGGACGCCAAUAAGGCAUCCGAUAAGAUAAGUCUUAUAAAAUAUAUAGAUUUAUGAUAAUUAAGACUGAGCCAACAGAUGAGGAAUCCUAGUCAUUGGCCAAGCAGCUUUGAACCUAAUACAAAUUUCUGUGUAUUCAUUUGGGCCUAACUUGGGCGGGCGGCUGGCGUAAAGUCCACAUGUGGCAGUGGGGCUCGGCGGCUUUUGGCAGAAAGAUUUAUCAUGACAAAUGACUGUGAUGUGGACGUGUAAUGGAAACAAACCCUCUUCUCCCCAUAUCACCUAUGUUUAUUGUGGUGUUUUACUACAUCACAGAAGCCUUAACUAAGACAGUGCGCAUGGCCUCUUUUCGGGAAAUGUGUUAUAGAGUAAAGAAAUUAAGUACUGAGACUAUAGCUCCAUGGCAGAACACUUGACCCUCAUCCAUGAGGUCCUGGGUUCAAUCCUCAGUAUUGUAAAGCAAAACAAAGAUCAUCCAAAAGUAGACAGCAUUUAUCAACUUAAAGAAUUUCUCUUUAAUUAUAUUCCUAUUUUAUUAAUUAUUUCUUCAAGCAGAGUUUGCAAAAUUAUCUCUUAUGAGCCAAACUGAAUUUGACGCUCUCUCUCUCUCUCUCUCUCUCUCUCUCUGUGUGUGUGUGUGUGUGUGUGUUGGCACACGCACUGUGAACUAAUGUAAGCAUUUAUUUAAUGUAAAAUGUCCAUUAGUACUUUGUGCUAUGAGAAAAGAUGAAAUUCAAAUUUCAGUAUCCACAAAUAGAAUUUUAUUGGGACACAGUGGUGUUCACUCAUUUGUAUGGCUGCCUUGGUAACAACAGGACAAUACUGAAUUGCUAUAACAGGAUAUAAGUGGACAAGAAUGGAACUGUGGCUAACAUGGGAACCUUGACUCAGGCCAGGAUGGUGGCUGAGCUAUUCUGCAGGAGGGUGAGGAGGAACAGAGGAACAGGGAAAGAGACUAAGCCACUCUCAAGCGUGCAGGCCUGGGCUUCUCUAAGAGAGGAAGUAAGACAUACCCAAACAUCGGUCCUGGCAUGCCUAAUUUCUGGCUCCUGAGAGGACAGGAGGACAGCAAUCAAGAGGACAUGAGAAACGGAGAGGACCCCUCACAGCCCCCUGUUGGGUUAUGUCUCUUGCUGGAGGGGGCUCGCACUCUAGCAGUACAGAUCUGUUCCUGGUGGGGGAGUCGCACCUCGUUGGAGUCCCACACUCACUCUUCAGAUGGCAUCUGCUCUUCUUCAAAGAAUCCCUGCAUACUAGUGGCUUUUUGGGAAGUUUUCUAUCCGUGCAACCUGGGAAUAGAACUGAGUAUACAGCAAAAGUGUGUGAUUCAGCUCUGCCCAGCACCCACUUUUUUGACCAUAAUAUGAAACAGUCCAAUCUUCACAACAGCCAGUAAUUUGGUUCCCUAAAUCAAGAAAAAGGAUUAUCUAGGCUGCCAAAGUAAACUGUGAGGACUCUUGCUGGGGAGCUCUCGGUAUGGACAGAGACACAAUGACCCCCUGCCUGUCAAACAAAGUCAUUUAGAAGGCAGCAGAAAGGAGGUGUGGAGGUACUCUAUGACGCCAGGCUGAGUUGCAGGCAGCUGGGAGCUGCCUCUUCAUGGGAGCUGAGAACUGACCUCAAGCCUUCUGAAACUGGCUUCCUGUUCAUCCCCUGCCCACAGAGAAGACCACUCUGUCCCACUGAGCUAAGAUCCACAUUCAGCUUGGUGAUGAUGUCAGUCCUCCCUGGGGUGAUACCAGUCCUCCCUGGGUCUAAGGAAAUAAAUUUCCUGCCUUCCCUUACUCUUCUGCAAGUCACUUUAAAACCCCAUUCUCCUAAUGAUAGUGAUCACAAUUAUCAUCACGUCUUGACAGCAUGUUUUGUCAGCCCUAGAGUUUUUCUUUUUUUCUUUACUUUCUUUCUUUCUUUUUUUUUUGGGGGGGGUGUGGGUUUCAAGACAGUGUUUCUCUGUAUUGCUUUGGAGGUUGUCCUGGAACUAGCUCUGUAGACCAGGCUGGCCUCCAACACUCAGAGAUCUGCCUGCCUCUGCCUCCUGAGUGCUGGGAUUAAAGGCAUGUGCCCCCAACGUCCGGCUCUGAGAGUAUUUUUCAUCUUAAGUGAGAACAAUCAGUUUGUCAGAGCACAGCACAGAGCAAGCCGGUCCCAUUAGGACAGACUAUAUCAGUGGUUCUCAACUGUCCUAAUGCUGUGACCCUUUAAUAUAGUUCUUCAUGUUGUGGUGACCCUCAACCGUAAAAUUAGUUUUGUUUCUACUUCAUAACUGUAAUUUUGCCUCUGUUAUGAAUAGUUAUGUAAACAU
ensembl:lncRNA